ensembl:lncRNA
AAUAUUGGAUAAUAUCAGAUAGCACAGGUACGUCAUGCAAGAUGUCUGUUAAAGACCUCUGCUUCAUCGUCCUAUAGACGUAUUGCAGAUGAGCAAACACUAAAAAAUACGUCUUGCAGAUGUAAUGCAGACGUCAGAUAGACGUCUCUGUGACGUACAUGUGCUAUCAGGGUGUGUUUUCAUGACUUUUGAACACUUGAGCACAUCGAUCCCCUUCUUGAGAUUCAUGAUUAAAAGCUAACUUUCAUUUAUGCUUUUUCUUGCUGUCAUAUAGUCGCAGUUGCAAAUCAAGAAGCGCUAAAAACAAAAGUUUCCUCUUUUUUCCAUUGUUUUGCUUACUCAUCUGACAGUUCAGCCCAGACAUGUACGUUAAAGCUCACGCUAUUCAACCCGUUACACCACAUAUCAACAUUCAGUAUCACUUUUAGCAGACGUGUUUACAUACUUUUUUACUGUAAAUUCAAGCUAUUAAGUUUUUAUUUCAGAAUUGAACUCUUGACUAGUUUAUCUGGUAGAAACCAAUAGGUUACAAUUUACUAUCAACCAACACUACAGGACUUAUGUGUGCAAACCUUUAGACAUUUAUCAGGCCUUUCUCAGGUCUUUCCCUGUACUCGAGGAACAAAAUUUAAGACAUUAUUAAUGCAAUAUUUAUCUGUAAACAGAAGGGUUCUGUAAACCAGGGUCAUUAAUUAACUGAUUUUGUACAUUUGUGAGGGCAGUUUUUAUCACCACCUUAAUAAUUGUAUCUGUGUUGUUUUUAAUGUCAAUUACUUGAUUUUAACCAAUUACUUCAAUCAAUCAAAAUUUUGUCUCAAAAGAAGUUUGUCUCAUGACUUCAGAGACAAACAUGUCGGUCCAUGACGUUAGACUAGACUAGCACAAGUUGAGCAAAACCUCCCAUUAUAAUAACUGAUGCUAUGAAAUUAAUCUUUUAUUUACAUCGUAUCUGCACUGUUGUUUAUGAUGUGGGAAUUCAGUGCGGCAAUAUAAUCAACAACAACUCCGGAGUCUUGAGCACUGACUAAUCUAAG